rfam:Ovis aries breed Texel chromosome 8, whole genome shotgun sequence.
UCCCUGGUGGCUUAAUAGGUAAAGAAUCUGCCUGCAAUGCAGGAGACCUGAGUUCGAUCCCUGGGUUGGGAA